rnacentral:lncRNA from 1 species
UUUUUUUUCAUCGUUCAUUUGGCUGCCUGAGUUCCACCUGCCAGUGUAGUGCCAACAGCCCAUCAGCCCCCUGUUGAUUUGAUCCUCGUCUGUCUUGAGGCUGAAUUACCCUUGGCUGGUGCUGCAGGAGGUUAGAGGAUUACAGAAUAAAAGAUUGAAGUGUGGAUUCCUAAAGAAGGAAGAGGACUGAAGAAGUUCAGAUGCAGAUUCCACAGGGCUGUCGCAGUUCAUAGCUCAAAGAAAAACCUGAGGCUAUAAAAUCAAACAUGAUUGCUGCCAAAAUUUUGCCUUCCUGCACCUUUGUAAGAACCAGAAUGGAGCAGCCAGCUGUUGUUCCUCUAAGCCAAAGAUGUGGGCAGCCGAAAAAAGUAAGCAAUUUAUGUUAUACUUAAACAAAAACACUUGUCCCUUCAAACAGUGUUACU